AUUGAACGCUGGCGGCUGGCCUAACACAUGCAAGUCGAGCGGAGCGGCGGACGGGUGAGUAAUGCCUAGGAAUCUGCCUGGUAGUGGGGGAUCACGUCCGGAAACGGGCGCUAAUACCGCAUACUAUCAGAUGAGCCUAGGUCGUAUAAGCUAGUUGGUGGGGUAAAGGCCUACCAAGGCGACGAACCGUAACUGGUCUGAGAGGAUGAUCAGUCAAACGGGAACUGGGAAACGGUCCAGACUCCGACGGUAGGCAGCAGUGGGGAAUAGGGGACAAUGGGCGAAAGCCGGAUCCAGCCAUGCCGCGUGUGGGAAGAAGGUCUUCGGAUUGUAAAGCACUUUAAGUUGGGAGGCGUUACCAACAGAAUAAGCGCCGGCUAACUUCGUGCCAGCAGCCGCGGUAAUUC
rnacentral:rRNA from 1 species